rnacentral:sRNA from 12 species
CGCUGAUGCGAGGGCUGACCCAAAAAGCAGAACUAAAACUGCUAAAGUGAUGCGAUGCGCCAUAGAAGCAUGGGGUUCCGUCUCGUGUGGAGUAAACGAAAAUGUGCACACCGCGCGGAGUAGACCGUGUUUAAAAAUCUAGUGUGUAGCUGUAAAUCGCGUGCUCGCUGCCACGUUAAAUCAGCGCAAAGAGUUUACAGCGUCCAAUCCUGCAACGCAUUUCGGGUAAACAAAUUUGGGAGAAUACCACCUGUGACGGAACCGCAGGUGGUAUUCU